rnacentral:rRNA from 1 species
UAGGGAAUCUUCGGCAAUGGGGGGAACCCUGACCGAGCAACGCCGCGUGAGUGAAGAAGGUUUUCGGAUCGUAAAGCUCUGUUGUUAAGGAAGAACGAGUGUGAGAAUGGAAAGUUCAUACUGUGACGGUACUUAACCAGAAAGGGACGGCUAACUACGUGCCAGCAGCCGCGGUAAUACGUAGGUCCCGAGCGUUGUCCGGAUUUAUUGGGCGUAAAGCGAGCGCAGGCGGUUAGAUAAGUCUGAAGUUAAAGGCAGUGGCUCAACCAUUGUAGGCUUUGGAAACUGUUUAACGUGAGUGCAGAAGGGGAGAGUGGAAUUCCAUGUGUAGCGGUGAAAUGCGUAGAUAUAUGGAGGAACACCGGUGGCGAAAGCGGCUCUCUGGUCUGUAACUGACGCUGAGGAUCGAAAGCGUGGGGAGCGAACAGG